rnacentral:rRNA from 1 species
UGAACGCUGGCGGUAGGCCUAACACAUGCAAGUCGAACGGCAGCACAGUAAGAGCUUGCUCUUACGGGUGGCGAGUGGCGGACGGGUGAGGAAUACAUCGGAAUCUACUUUUUCGUGGGGGAUAACGUAGGGAAACUUACGCUAAUACCGCAUACGACCUACGGGUGAAAGCAGGGGAUCUUCGGACCUUGCGCGAUUGAAUGAGCCGAUGUCGGAUUAGCUAGUUGGCGGGGUAAAGGCCCACCAAGGCGACGAUCCGUAGCUGGUCUGAGAGGAUGAUCAGCCACACUGGAACUGAGACACGGUCCAGACUCCUACGGGAGGCAGCAGUGGGGAAUAUUGGGCAAUGGGCGCAAGCCUGAUCCAGCCAUACCGCGUGGGUGAAGAAGGCCUUCGGGUUGUAAAGCCCUUUUGUUGGGAAAGAAAAGCAGCAGGUUAAUACCCCGCUGUUCUGACGGUACCCAAAGAAUAAGCACCGGCUAACUUCGUG